CGCGUAGGCGGAUUGGAAAGUUGGGGGUGAAAUCCCAGGGCUCAACCCUGGAACUGCCUCCAAAACUCCCAGUCUUGAGUUCGAGAGAGGUGAGUGGAACUCCGAGUGUAGAGGUGAAAUUCGUAGAUAUUCGGAAGAACACCAGUGGCGAAGGCGGCUCACUGGCUCGAUACUGACGCUGAGGUGCGAAAGUGUGGGGAGCAAACA
rnacentral:rRNA from 1 species